rnacentral:rRNA from 1 species
AUUGAACGCUGGCGGCAGGCCUAACACAUGCAAGUCGAGCGAGCGGCGGACGGGUGAGUAAUGUAUGGGGAACUGCCUGAUAGAGGGGGAUAACUACUGGAAACGGUGGCUAAUACCGCAUACUAUCGGAUGUGCCCAGAUGGGAUUAGCUAGUAGGUGGGGUAAUGGCUCACCUAGGCGACGAUCUCUAGCUGGUCUGAGAGGAUGACCAGCCACACUGGGACUGAGACACGGUCCAGACUCCUACGGGAGGCAGCAGUGGGGAAUAUUGCACAAUGGGCGCAAGCCUGAUGCAGCCAUGCCGCGUGUAUGAAGAAGGCCUUAGGGUUGUAAAGUACUUUCAGCGGGGAGGCGUUACCCGCAGAAGAAGCACCGGCUAACUCCGUGCCAGCAGCCGCGGUAAUAC